GACGGAGGGUGCUAGCGUUGUUCGGAAUGACUGGGCGUAAAGGGUGCGUAGGCGGCGCGGUAAGUCGGGUGUGAAAUCUCGGGGCUUAACUCCGAAACUGCAUUCGAUACUGCCGUGCUUGAGGACUGGAAAGGAGACUGGAAUUUACGGUGUAGCGGUGAAAUGCGUAGAUAUCGUGAAGGAAGACCAGUGGCGAAGGCGGGGUC
rnacentral:rRNA from 1 species